rnacentral:rRNA from 1 species
UACAGAGGUCCCAAGCGUUGUUCGGAUUCAUUGGGCGUAAAGGGUGCGUAGGCGGCGCGGUAAGUCGGGUGUGAAAUCUCGGGGCUUAACUCCGAAACUGCAUUCGAUACUGCCGUGCUUGAGGACUGGAGAGGAGACUGGAAUUUACGGUGUAGCGGUGAAAUGCGUAGAUAUCGUAAGGAAGACCAGUGGCGAAGGCGGGUCUCUGGACAGUAACUGACGCUGAGGAGCGAAAGCGUGGGGAGCGAACAGG